GAAAACUGAAAGCGAUCAGAAUACAAGAUGGUUCAGACAUAAACAAGUGCUAGCGCUAAGAAAAGACAAAAAAAACAACAAGAGAUGCAAGGUACAGAUGUAAUAAAAGGGAAAGGAUACUAGACAUUGGUAUUCAGUGUGAUCGAUGGAGAAGAGUUAAAGAAGCUACUGGGAUUGAAAAGGACGAGAAAAUGAUGGAAUUAUUGAUCGCUGCAACUACUUCUGCACUAGAGAGCUUCAACAAUCAUCUUUUGAUGUAUGCUCCAAAGCGAAAUGCUUUCAGGGGAAAGAGUGCACUCAAAAGCUGCUGGUAAUUGGAGCAUUAGACCUAUGAAAAAACCCAAGGAGUAUACAUACAUAACGGGUUUGAUCACUGAAGUUACAAAUGAAUUCACCAUAGGCAAGAAAAGAAAAAGUGGCAAAUGUGAACAGCUGUCUGAAGACCCCGAAAGAAUUAGCUCAACUAUAGCCCCUGUCCACCUACAUCGAUACUUAGUGAUCAGCAUGUCUCUAGAUUGAGAAAAGCGAAAAAAAUGAAUUGUUGCACAAGACGUGUUUGAUAUUCAUUUGAAGUUGACGCAGAAGUUAUCUUUGUUAGAUAACUAUUAAGUUUCACAUCUUUAGUGUUAAUAUAAUUUUAGAAGUGUUUUGAAAAUGUACAAUCUUACAUUAUGUUAUAAAUAAUGAAUGCUCUUGGUUGUACAAUGCAAUGACAUUUUUCAGGAAGAUUUAAUAUUGAAUUUAGCAUAAAAUAUUUUUUUAUGUCCCCCACUAUGGUAGUGGGGGACAUAUUGUUUUUUGCCCUGUCUGUUGAUUGGUCUGUUGGUUGGUUGGUUGGUUGGUCUGUUGGUUGGUUUGCACCAACUUUAACAUUUUGCAAUAACUUUUGCUAUAUUGAAGAUAGCAACUUCAUAUUUGGCAUGCAUGUGUAUCUCAUGAAGCUGCACAUUUUGAGUGGUGAAAGGUCAAGGUCAUCCUUCAAGGUCAGAGGUCAAAUAUAUGUGGCCAAAAUCGCUCAUUUUAUGAAUACUUUUGCAAUAUUGAAGAUAGCAACUUCAUAUUUGGCAUGCAUGUUUAUCUUAUGGAGCUGCACAUUUUGAGUGGUGAAAGGUCAAGGUCAUCCUUCAAGGUCAGAGGUCAAAUAUAUGUGGCCCAAAUCGCUAGUUUUAUGAAUACUUUUGCAAUAUUGAAGAUAGCAACUUGAUAUUUGGCAUGCAUGUGUAUCUCAUGGAGCUGCACAUUUUGAGUGGUGAGUGGUGAAAGGUCAAGGUCAUUCUUCAAGGUCAAAUGUA